CAGGCCUAUAAGUAGAGGCAUGAUUUUACACAAGCUUCAGAUACCGGUCACGCGCGCAAGGCGUUCCCAUACUGAAAGCUCAUCACAUUAUAGAAUAAAGUUAAUAAGUGGAACCUGAACAUCAAUAGUAACUUUCACCGUUUGAGCAUGGUCUGGACUUUAAGUUCACUUGGAAAUCCUCUAUAAGUUAUUGGUCAUGGGGGGAAAUAAGAUUAAUCCAUCAGGAUCACGUUACGAUCUAUAAUUACAUCAUCAUUUACACUCCGUGUUGUUCAUGAUCAGGUGAUUUGUAGGAUGUAGAAAUCCGUCUCCAGAUUUUGAGUGAGUUUUAUGAACACGGUAACGUCCCUACACGCACCUCAGACAAGAUUUUUCACUUUAUUCGGUUUAUUCUAAUUCUGUAACCUUGACAACACUGUGACGUCAUGGCUCAGCCAGCAAUAAAACAUUCCACUCAGCUGAAGUGGUCUUUGGUUUCUACAGACAGAUCACUGAGAGAACAAGAGAAAAAGCAGCAAUGACGAUCACUCCAGAAUCGAGUAACAGGCCUACAAACCAAGAUUUCUUGCAGCAAACUGCACGACCUGAGGAAGUUCUGCAUAGAACGCCCAGAAUGGAUCCGAUUGGUCUUCCCCCAUCCAGAGCACCGGUGUGUGGGGAAAAGUUAAGCAAAACAACCAGCAAUCCUGAGGAACUUACAGGUACUACAGAGGUAAAGAGUAAGUCUCUUGAGGCUACAAUUGAGGUAGAACCUCAAUUAAGAACCAACAUUACUGAUGCUAUCCUGGAUUGUAUAACCUCUACAUCGUUCAAGAAUCAGCUCGCUCUGCGCAUUGUGGGUGAGAUUGAUGAUAUACUAGCAAAAGCUGUGUCCCAGGUUCACGAGAAACAGCAUGCUGUGAGUUUCGAAACAGCAGAAGAUAAGACGAACAUCUCCCCGGAACAACAAUCGAGCAACAAUGUUUUCAUGCCUGGCUUCAGUGAUGGUGUGGCAUCUGUGCUUGGUUAUGCACUGAUAGAAGUUAGAGAACAUGUGAAAAAAACUUUUAGAAGCCAGUCACACAAAUUUCAGACAGUCUCACCCACGGCAUGCGAUUCUGUAACAGAAAUAGUGGACAGCGUCUUUGAAAGCAUGCUUGAUUCCUUGACUGCUCAACUGAAACCAGAUGUUUGCACUGAAAGGGAUCCUAGCAUGAUUGAUUCUCUUUAUAGUCAUGAGUUUGAUACAGUGUUUGAUAGUAUCCUUCCCAGCACUGACUCAGAUUUCAACCAGAGUCCAGUCCAUGAGCCAAGAGGAAGUGAUGAUGAGUCUAGUGUGACAACUCAGGGCAGUGAGACAUUAGACAUUGUGAAAGAGAGAGCUGACUCCCCAAGAAGAUCUACCAAAGUCCCGUUCUCCACAGUAUUUGACCAGUCUUCUGGACCUGAAGUUAAGGCCAAAGAUGAGGUUGAGGGCAUCUUGGCUGAUUCUGGAAGCAUGAGCCACCUUGAUGACCCUCUGACUUCAAGAAUCAAAUCUGACUCCGAUUCGGAUACAAGCGUUCUUGAGCUCACUGCUACUUCUGCAACGGAAAAUGUUGACCACAUGUCAAGAUCUGAUGAAGUAGCAGAAGAAGGACUUGUGGCUAAAUCAGAUGUUGAGCUUGAGCAAAUCAUGGCUGCUCCUUCUGAGGAAAACACUCCUUCUGACAUAACUUCCCAAAGCCUUGAGCUGAUUGGACACCAGGAAUGUGCUAGCCCUGUCCCUUCACCACCUUCUAGUGAUCAGCCAGAGGAUCUGCCAGCUCUUUGCCAAACAGAGCAUCUUUGACCAGUCUCACCAAAAUGUAGAGAGUGAUGGCAAGCGUAGACUUUCUCUGACUGGCAUGGAAAUGGGUUCUUCUGGAAGCAGAAGUCGCCUUGAUGAACCUCAGUUCAUCUGAAACUUACAACGUUGAAGAAGCUGCAGCAAAAUCAGCUGGAUACAAAGCAGUACUAUGUUGAAAUUAUUCUG
ensembl:lncRNA